rnacentral:rRNA from 12 species
GCCAAUCUCAAAAAGUGCAUCUCAGUUCGGAUUGAGGUCUGCAACUCGACCUCAUGAAGUUGGAAUCGCUAGUAAUCGUGGAUCAGCAUGCCACGGUGAAUACGUUCCCGGGCCUUGUACACACCGCCCGUCACACCAUGGGAGUGGGAUGCAAAAGAAGUAGUUAGUCUAACCUUCGGGGGGACGAUUACCACGGUGUGGUUCAUGACUGGGGUGAAGUCGUAACAAGGUAGCCGUAGGGGAACCUGCGGCUGGAUCACCUCCUU